CAGAUUUUCCUCUGCCUCUGCCACUCCUGAGACAGCAAGCCCAAGUCCUCCUUUUCCUCUUCCUCGUCAGCCUUCUCAGUGUAAAGAAAAUAAGGAUGAAGACCUUUGUGAUGAUUCACUUCCACUUAAUGAAUGUUGUAUUAAUCUGCCUCCAAAACCCAAAUGGAAGGUCUGAGUGUGGGUCUCUGCAGAUCAUCAGGCUAGCACAGCACAUAGGAAGCAAUCAAGAAAUACUGAAAGAAUGAAAGAAUGAACGAACGAACAAACGAAGAGACUUAAGCCUGUGAAAGUUGAUGAGACAACUAAAGGAGAUAAUGGAGAGGAGAGAAUGCUGGAACAAUACCCACUUUGAGAGGGCAGGAAGAAAGAAGCUAGUGAAGGAAACAGAAUGAACAAUCAAAGAGGGCUUCUAUCAAACAUCUUUGGCAUGUCUCUCUCUCAGCAACCAGCAUAAGUCUGUAUGCAUAGACUCCUGUUGACUCUGCGGAGGUUAUUCAAUCAAGGCAGGCACUGACUUCAAAACCCGUUUUAUUCUUUCACCCAAAGAGCAGAAAAAAAGAGAA